CCCUUUGGUGUUUUCUUCCUUUUCUCUUUAGUUUUCCCUCCCACCCUUCCCCACGUUGCUGCAGACGCUAAAUGGCGGGAGGCGACGCUUUUCCUCGAUCGAAGCAUCGAGAGGGGAGGUUUCGAUUGACCAUGUCCGCCCUUGUCUUAGAUCGAUCAUUGUUUCCUGCAUCGCUCGGUUUCGUUGUCGUCGUCUCCGAGAACGAUUCUUGAAAGAAUCGACGAGAUUUCUAAGUGCCGCGAGGCCUUCUUCUUCGUGGAUGAUCUGGGUUUCAGAACACUUCAUCUUCUCGAUCGUCACAGCAAGAUUAGUGUUUGCCGGAAUUGUAUCAGCGACAUCUCAGCGUUAAAUUGUCGUGGCGACUUUUCCUCA